CCAGCAUCCGAGAUUUGAAGGCAGUACGAGACGUUGAGGUCGGACAGCUUCGGCACGAGAGACGAGAUCGUCAAAAUCGAAGAGUCCGUCAGGUGGCAGCAACCGCGCACAUUCACCCUCCUCAAGCUUUUGUGCUUGCUGAUG
rnacentral:rRNA from 16 species